rnacentral:rRNA from 1 species
AUGGACUCGCGGCCUAUCAGCUUGUUGGUGAGGUAAUGGCUCACCAAGGCGACGACGGGUAGCCGGCCUGAGAGGGUGACCGGCCACACUGGGACUGAGACACGGCCCAGACUCCUACGGGAGGCAGCAGUCGCGAAUAUUGCACAAUGGGCGCAAGCCUGAUGCAGCAACGCCGCGUGAGGGAUGACGGCCUUCGGGUUGUAAACCUCUUUUAGUAGGGAAGAAGCGAAAGUGACGGUACCUGCAGAAAAAGCACCGGCUAACUACGUGCCAGCAGCCGCGGUAAUACGUAGGGUGCAAGCGUUGUCCGGAAUUAUUGGGCGUAAAGAGCUCGUAGGCGGUUUGUCGCGUCUGCUGUGAAAACUGGAGGCUCAACCUCCAGCCUGCAGUGGGUACGGGCAGACUAGAGUGCGGUAGGGGAGAUUGGAAUUCCUGGUGUAGCGGUGGAAUGCGCAGAUAUCAGGAGGAACACCGAUGGCGAAGGCAGAUCUCUGGGCCGUAACUGACGCUGAGGAGCGAAAGCAUGGGGAGCGAACAGGAUUAGAUACCCUGGUAGUCCAUGCCGUAAACGUUGGGAACUAGAUGUG